rnacentral:lncRNA from 1 species
AGGCUAUUUUAAAGAUUUUUUAGGAUAUUUUAGCUUCAUUUUUGCUCCAAUUUUCACCUGAAAAAUUGAAAAAAAUAAAUAAAAAUUUUUAAAAAUUUUUAUUUAUUUUGAUGCUUAAAUUGCUUAAUUAAAUUAACAUCUUAUUUUUUAUAAAUAUAUCUAAUUUCAUAUAUUUUUUUUAAAAGUACUUAUUUUUCAAAAAAAUUUAAUAAAUUUAUGAAAUUAGGUUUUUAAGAAGAUGUUAGCACC